rnacentral:rRNA from 1 species
GACGAACGCUGGCGGCGUGCUUAACACAUGCAAGUCGAACGGAAAGGCCCUGCUUUUGUGGGGUGCUCGAGUGGCGAACGGGUGAGUAACACGUGAGUAACCUGCCCUUGACUUUGGGAUAACUUCAGGAAACUGGGGCUAAUACCGGAUAGGAGCUCCCGCUGCAUGGUGGGGGUUGGAUAGUUUCGGCGGUUGGGGAUGGACUCGCGGCUUAUCGGCUUGUUGGUUGGGUAGUGGCUUACCAAGGCUUUGACCGGUAGCCGGCCUGAGAGGGUGACCGGCGACAUUGGGACUGAGAUACGGCCCAGACUCCUACGGGAGGCAGCAGUGGGGAAUAUUGCACAAUGGGCGGAAGCCUGAUGCAGCAACGCCGCGUGCGGGAUGACGGCCUGCGGGUUGUAAACCGCUUUCGCCUGUGACGAAGCGUGAGUGACGGUAAUGGGUAAAGAAGCACCGGCUAACUACGUG